rnacentral:rRNA from 1 species
AUCAACUUUCGAUGGUAGGAUAGAGGCCUACCAUGGUGGUAACGGGUAACGGGGUGUUAGGGCACGACACCGGAGAGGGAGCCUGAGAAACGGCUACCACAUCCAAGGAUGGCAGCAGGCGCGCAAAUUACCCAAUCCCGACACGGGGAGGUAGUGACAAUAAAUAACAAUACGGGGUUCUUUUGGAUUUCGUAAUUGGAAUGAGUACAAUUUAAAUCUCUUAACGAGGAACAAUUGGAGGGCAAGUCUGGUGCCAGCAGCCGCGGUAAUUCCAGCUCCAAUAGCGUAUAUUAAAGUUGUUGCAGUUAAAAAGCCCGUAGUUGAAUUUCGGGGUUAGUAGGCUGGUCAUGCCACAGGUAUGCACUGGUCUUACUGAUUCCUCCUUCCUGAUGAACCGUAAUGCCAUUAAUUUGGUGUUGCGGGGAGUCUGGACUGUUACUUUGAAAAAAUUAGAGUGUUUAAAGCAGGCUAACGCUUGAAUACAUUAGCAUGGAAUAACGAAAUAGGACGUUCGAUCUUAUUUUGUUGGUUUCUAGGAUUGACGUAAUGAUUAAUAGGGAUAGUUGGGGGCAUUAGUAUUCAAUUGUCAGAGGUGAAAUUCUUGGAUUUAUUGAAGACUAACUACUGCGAUAGCAUUUGCCAAGGAUGUUUUCAUUAAUCAAGAACGAAAGUUAGGGGAUCGAAGACGAUCAGAUACCGUCGUAGUCUUAACCAUAAACUAUGCCGACUAGGGAUCGGAUGAUGUUAAUUUUAUAAUGACUCAUUCGGCGCCUUACGGGAAACCAAAGUGUUUGGGUUC